rnacentral:tRNA from 1 species
GUGGCGCAGUUGGUAGCGCUGUUGCCUUGUAGCAAGAAGGUCCUGGGUUCGAUUCCCAGC